UUGAAUAUAAUGGACAUCCUAUUCGAUGCGUAAAUGCAUUUAGAAUGGACUCUGCUUUGCUUAAGCAAUUAUGUGAAGAUUUAUAUUCAAAAUAUGGAUUACAAUCUACUAGGAAUAUGUCAGUUGUGGAGAAAGUUGUAUAUUUAUAUACACAAUUGUUAUGGGUGCUUCAAAUAGAGAUGUUGGAGAGCGAUUUCAACGUUCUGGUGAAACAAUAAGUAGGGCAUUUCAUGAAGUCUUGGAAGCAAUUAGCGAUAGGAAUAGCGGAUACAAAGGCCUUGCACGUGAUAUCAUACGACCAAAUGAUCCUAUAUUUCAAUCUAUAUUGUCUUGCAUUUCUAAUGAUGCACGAUACAGGUCAUAUUUCAAGGUAAAAUGUGACCAAUUUAUUAUUAUUAUUAUUAUUAUUAUUAUUAUUAAGAUUGAUUAUCUAAUAUAUAUAUAUAUAUAUAUAUAUAUAUAUGAUUGUAUUGGAUGUAUUGAUGGUACUCAUAUAGCAGCGUGCAUCCCUGAGGUUGAUCAAUUGCGAUAUAGUUCAGAGGGAGAAAAGGAAUUCGUACUUUCAAUGUUAUGGCAUCGUGUGACUUUGAUAUGUGUUUCACUUUUAUAUCUGUUGGAUGGAAAAGGAUCCGCACAUGAUACACGUGUAUUUGUUCAUGCGAUUAAUACACCAUCAAUGAACUUUCCUAAGCCGCCACAAGGAUAUCCAGAUAAACAAGGAUAUUUGAUACUGUAUCCAAGAAUAAGGUAUCAUCAAUCUCAAAUUGAACAAGAGCCGCCAACUAAUGCUCAAUAAGCAUUCAAUCGUGCACAUUCUUCUCUUCGAAGUUGUAUUGAGAGGCCGUUUGGAGUAUUGAAGAAGAGAUGGAAGAUACUUGCUCAAAUGCCACAGUUUAGUGUGGAUGGAGACCCAAAUUGAUGUUAUUAUGGCCACAUUUGCACUACAUAAUUAUAUUCGAAAGAAUUCACAAGAUAACAUGAUGUUUAAUGUGCUUGAGCAGCAUCCAAAUUACAUACUGCCCGAUGAACUUCAAGUAGUAAUAUCACCAUCAAUGAAAAUUAAAGUCAGACCUCUAUUGAGAUGAA